rnacentral:rRNA from 1 species
AUUGAACUCUGGCGGAAGGCUUAACACAUGCAAGUCGAACGAGUGGCGGACGGGUGAGUAGUGUCUGGGAAACUGCCCGAGGGUGGUGUAUAACUCCUGGAAACGGUCGCUAUUACAGCAUACCAACGGAUGUGCCCAGAUGGGAUUAGCUAGUAGGUGGGGUAACGGCUCACCUAGGCGCCGAUCCCUAGCUGGUCUGAGAUGAUGACCAGCCACACUUGAACUGAGACACGGUCCAGACUCCUACGGGAGGCAGCAGUGGGGAAUAUUGCACAAUGGGCGCAAGCCUGAUGCAGCCAUGCCGCGUGUAUGAAGAAGGCCUUCGGGUUGUAAAGUACUUUCAGCGAGGAGGCGUUACUCGCAGAAGAAGCACCGGCUAACUCCGUGCCAGCAGCCGCGGUAAUAC